UGGGGAAUAUUGCACAAUGGACGGAAGUUUGAUGCAGCGACGCCGCGUGGAGGGUGUAGGCCUUCGGGUUGUGAACUCCUUUUUCUCGCGAAAAAGGCACAGUUUUGGCUGUGUUGAUGGUAGUGGGGGAAGAAGCGCCGGCUAACUACGUGCCAGCAGCCGCGGUAAUACGUAGGGCGCGAGCGUUGUCCGGAUUUAUUGGGCGUAAAGAGCUCGUAGGUGGUUCGUCGCGUCUGUCGUGAAAGCCAGCAGCUUAACUGUUGGUCUGCGGUGGGUACGGGCGGGCUUGAGUGCGGUAGGGGUGACUGGAAUUCCUGGUGUAGCGGUGGAAUGCACAGAUAUCAGGAGGAACACCGAUGGCGAAGGCAGGUCACUGGGCCGUUACUGACACUGAGGAGCGAAAGCGUGGGGAGCGAACAGG
rnacentral:rRNA from 1 species